rnacentral:rRNA from 1 species
UUGGAGGCAGCAGUGGGGAAUAUUGCACAAUGGGGGAAACCCUGAUGCAGCAACGCCGCGUGAGUGAUGAAGGUCUUCGGAUUGUAAAACUCUGUCUUUGGGGACGAUAAUGACGGUACCCAAGGAGGAAGCCACGGCUAACUACGUGCCAGCAGCCGCGGUAAUACGUAGGUGGCAAGCGUUGUCCGGAUUUACUGGGCGUAAAGGGAGCGUAGGUGGAUAUUUAAGUGGGAUGUGAAAUACUCGGGCUUAACCUGAGUGCUGCAUUCCAAACUGAAUAUCUAGAGUGCAGGAGAGGAAAGUAGAAUUCCUAGUGUAGCGGUGAAAUGCGUAGAGAUUAGGAAGAAUACCAGUGGCGAAGGCGACUUUCUGGACUGUAACUGACACUGAGGCUCGAAGGCGUGGGGAGCAAACAGGAUUAGAUACCCCUGUAGUCCG